GACGAACCGUGCGAACGUUGUUCGGAUUCACUGGGCUUAAAGGGCGCGUAGGCGGGCCCCACAGUCGGGGGUGAAAUCUUUCGGCCCAACCGGAAAAUCGCCUCCGAUACUCGGGGCCUCGAGGGGGGUAGGGGCAUGCGGAACUUCGGGUGGAGCGGUGAAAUGCGUAGAUAUCCGAAGGAACGCCGGUGGCGAAAGCGGCGUGCUGGACCCCUUCUGACGCUGAGGCGCGAAAGCCAGGGGAG
rnacentral:rRNA from 1 species